GCUCCGCUGGAGCUGCAGGCGCGGGGUUCCCUGCCUUCCUUCCACCAGCGGUACAGCAGCCCCCAGGUUCACCCCGCGUCCCUGCACACCAUGGCUCGCAGAGCUGUUCUCCCUGUGCCCCAGGCUGUCUGCCCUGUGACCUUACGUGUUUUAUGGUGCUACUCUUCAUGCUGGUUUUACAGCCUGAAGAGCAGAUCUCCCCUGCCUGAACAGGGCAGAUGCUUCCUUUCCACUCGUACGUGUGUGCUGUCUUCUCCUUGUUAAAUUGUUCCAGCAUAGAGUUCCUAAAAAAUAUAAAGUAAGAAAACCCAAAACUUAUUAAUUGGAAAAGCAGUAAUUUUGAAUGAGAAACUCAGCCCUUAAAGUCAACCUUUUUAGAUUUUUAGCUCAGCCCUAAGUAUAACUUACAGAGGGAAAGCAGAGAUUCCUUUUUUAUAGCAGUAAACAGUGCCCUUUAGUGGGCAAAUUGAUGGUUAGAAACUUCCCUAAUGAAAAAACACCUCUAGUUCCUCUGUAUGAGGAGUGUCUAGUUUUGAGUGUAGAAAAGAUCAAAUGGAGAAAUAAUAGGGAAAGAAGUAAUAGAAAAAAUGUGGCUGCUCAGUUUGGGGCAGCCACAAAAAUAUUUAUAAUGAAAAAAUUAUGUCAAUAGUGUAGCCAAAGGUACAGAAACAGAACUCCCUCUUUUGGUUAACAUCUUCCAACUCCACAGUAUGUUUAAACUGAUGUUUCUUAUUUCAACGCUUAAAAUUUUCUUUAGAAAUAGUAAAUGGGGCUCCAGGUUUUGCAGAUCAAUUGAUUUUUUUCUUUAUGCAAACCAAAAUGUCACUGGUUCGUAAGCAUCUGUAAGUUCCAGUACUUUGUUACUUAUUCAACACAAGGUAUUAUGAUUGUUUUAUUACUUCACUUUUUUUUGCCUUUUUUUUUCCCUUUUUAAUACCAAUGAAGAAAGAGACAGUCACACGUACCAAUACAGUGAUGUGGAUCCUUCAGGAAGGCUAAUUAAAGCAGCGUGGAAAAAGAAAACUACACCAAGUUGGCAUGACCUAUACACUGGUAAGGACAGAUAUGCAAACAUACAGAAUUUUAGUUAUAAUCACCAUGGCCCAUAAAUCAGCCUGCUUCUGGAAGAUACUCUUAUUGUAAUGAAUUUCCUCAAUAUCUUGUGUUUGACAACAGUCAGAGAUAACAAGCCAUCAGCAAGAAGAAAUAUGACACCUGACAUUUUAAGUGGCCUGUUAGUAUUAUUUAUUCUGCUAAAAAAUACAGUUCCUCAUCCACUAAGUGUUGAAAGGAGGAAGCAAAGAGCAUCUCUCACUGUAAAUUCAUGACAAGUGUGCUAUCCCAGGCAUCCCUCAUAUGAAGAGGGAACAUUUGGCUUCAUAUGAAGAUGCUGACUGCAGUUCAUCAUGGCAUGAAGGAUUCACAAACAGCCAUUUGGAUUGCAGGUACCUGUGGUCUUUGGAGUGUGGAGGUGGGGUACAGUCACAGCAUGAACUGCAAAGCUGAUUUAUUUACAGGAAAACCUGUGUUGCCAGAGCUCAGGAGACUCCAUUGGCAGCUGGGAGGCAACUAGAGGCAUUUGAGAGGCAAUCCAAGAGCAUUGCACAGUCAAGACAAAAUAUAUUUUACCAGUGAGGAGGAGAUGGCAGAGAGAUUAAACUUGUUAUCCAGACCCACAGAGUGAGCAGAAAGCAAAACCACACUUUGGGCACUGUUUAUUUGAAUGCUCCAACUGUAUGAAAUACAAACAAGAGGAAAAACGCUCACGUGCACUGAUGUGAGGGCGUGGGAUAAAAGUGGGAUUUCAUAAAGUUCUUCCAGGCAUAAAGUGAGCAAAAUGUGGAUUAAAGACACACUACAAUGAAAGAAAAAAAAAAGAAGUAAUACAUGGAGAAAGGAAGCAAAAAAUUUACUUACAGGGAUGAAAUGCUGCAGAGGAUUAGUCUGCAGGGGAAGAUUUGGUAGAGGUUUACAUCUAUGCAUUAAUUGGGAGAAUAGAAUCUGUGUAUUGAGCUUCAUGGCCAACUUUCUGAGAGGUUCAAGAGCUGCAGUGAUAACCAAUGAUCUGAAUCCACUUCUGGGCUGAAGAGAGCCCAAGCUACAGCCAGACUGUCACAACUGACCUACUUGGUACACUUGACAGUGUCUCAGAGGAAAGACCAAGGAGCAGAUGGGAAACCAGCCUGAUACAUCACUCUGGGACCAGUCUUUUCUGAACAAAAGCAAAUGUUUUUGAGAGUACAAAACGUCCUGCAGACCCCUGGAUGUUGCAGACCAGAAAACAUCACCAUUCUCUGGACAGCAAUCUACCUUCACCAGCUGGGUUUGGCUAAAAUUCCAGAAAUCUUGACAGCAAUGUUUCUUUAAGGGCUCCUCCUUCCCUCUCUGGACUUUUCUCUCUCCAAAUUAUUGAGCACAUUCCAGCUAUCAGUUCUGAGCACUAUUUCCUUGGCACUGAGGCUUCAGUGGGGUUGAACCAAGACCCAGCUGCACAGCUCUUGCUGUGCAAAUCAAACCACAGGGCAAUACUGUACAUCACUGGGCUGAGAACGGAGAGGAGAGAGUUCUUUAUGAGAUGUUUUAGUUCAGAGACCUCAUCUGCAUUCAUUCUUCUUCAGCCAAAGAAUCUCCCCCUCCUUACCUGUUUUACAAAUGGGUUGUAGAUUCAGCUUCUUUCUGUUCAGUGAGAACGCCUCACGUCUUCAUCUUAGACUCAGUAUUUUACUCAGCAUUAUCCUCAGCAUUUACUCUGCCUAUGACAUCACCUGUGCCAAACUUCCAAAGGCUGUUUGGGACAUACAGCAGCUAGUAGGACAUUUUGAAAACAAAAGGUUUGUGCAAGUUUAACUUGGAGCAUGAACUGGUCUGAAGAAUAGUGACAGCAAUUUUGUUAUUCUUGUGUGGUACUGGAGGAGUACUGCAAGGUGCCCCAUACAAACAAAGGCAGGUAACAGUAAGGAAUAACUUAACUUGGCCCUGCAUCCAGGUGUGUCAUUUCCUUUGGGCUGGAAGUUUUGCCCAUCUUGUCUUAUAAGAGAUAAAAUCUUUGUCUGACUUGCUUCAAAACAUGCACUAGUUUCUUCAGGCAACUAUGGGAACAUGUCCCAUAUUUAACUGAGGUAUUUGAUUUGUUUGCAGUUUCCAAAAUGGGCAAAAGCUUGUUGAAGGAAUAAGGGCAAUUCCAGAACUCUCUCUGACACUCAGAAUAUAUUUUAGGUAGUGUAAGAAAGUAACCUAGAGUCUGGAAUCAUAUCCCUAACUAUUUAGAUUGCUGGAGAAUCCAAAAAAAAAAAACCAAAACAACCUUGUCUAAUAGCCUUUCUAGCUGUGUUUUCAUUAAGUCUGAGACAACUCAAUAAGGAAGCUGUGGCUUGAUUUAUUUUAAUCAGUUAUUACAGAGGAGUCAUUAAAAAAGAAAACAAAACAAAAACUCGGCAAAAUCUUCCUUACAUACUUUUUGCUUUCCAAAUCCACAAAAAGUUUAGAUAAAAUCUCAUUUCAUUACAACCAAAACAAACCUCCUGCACUGGACUGCUUUCAUUUUUUUUUUUCCCUGUAAAUGAUGAUGUUUUUAUACCUCUUCUGUCUACACUGGUUUUCCAGUCAGUGUCUUUUGUGUUUGUUUUCUUUAUAAUCUCACUAAGGUUGCCCAGGAAUUCUAUUGUCUCCUAAGGCUUGGUAAGAGCAUUGAAGACUGUGAGCUAGAAAUGGAGUAAGGAAAAUGAUUUAGCCAUUUUUGUCAUCUGAAAAUGACUUUCAGAACUGCUUGCACACAUGAUUAUCCUUCCAGUUCAAAUGUAAAAGAACCUGGAUUUUGCCCUAUGUAUUGAACAUAUGCUGAAAGUUUUACCAACUUUACAGCCCAUUAGUUUAAUUUGAUAUUAUUGUUGAGCUAAAAAGUGUGCAUUCAGGCACACACAAAAUCUUCUUUUGAAAUAACUCCUCUGUCUUAAAAGAGAAGAACCAUGGGACUACUGAAUGAUUUAGAUAAAGUAAGUUACAGUCCCUAGGCAUUGUGAUAUGAAAUUCCAUAGGACAAAUGUUUUAAUCUACAGCAACUGCUGUUUCACAACUGAUGUGGCACUGGCUGUACCUGUUUGUGGCUCAAAAGGAUGAAGAUUCAUCUUUGGUUCUUUCUCUUAUUUUUAUUUAUGUAUUUUUGAAGGCCAUUGAGUGGAGGGAAGCAUAUAAAAAAGGAGGAUAACACUGAUUACCAUAAGUGGUCAAUUGUUAAAUGUGUCCAGCUCAAGAGAGGUCAGGAAUCCAUUACUGGAAUAUCCAUGGUGUCAUGUACCAUUAGGUUGUCUGAGGAUAUAUUGUUGAUAAAACAUCCCUAUCAGGAUCAUACUUUGCUCACAAAGACUCACAGAAAAAUUGAAGCAAAACCUGCCAAAGUCACCUCUCUCUCAAAAGAAAUAUUUCAAACAUAUUCUAACAAAUCCUGACUGUAAAUUGUGCAAAUUGGAUUUCCAGUAAUGAGACCCAUCAGUAGGCACAUUUUCUUGACAUAUUCUGUCUUGGAAAUAGUGAUUCAAUUUUCCAAAAGUCCUUUAAUUUGCUUAGAGAGGAAAGCAUUUUCAUUUUGACCAGUCACUUCUAAUAAUUUGCUAAAUUCAAAAUAUGUGAAAUUACUGAAGCUGGUUGUAGUGACCAGAAGGACCUCUAAUCUUCUAAUAGUAUUUUUCUUUUUCCCAUGAAUCAUGUAGGCUUGCACAAGAAAUUCUUCAGAACAGAUAAAACACAAAUCUUAGUUGACAUCUCUGCUGCUUGUCUCUUCCACACAAUUCUGGACAUUUGCUAGUAAUCCCCUUCAGAAGAUUUGCUUUAGAAAUCUGUUAGCUGCUGGGGUGUGUGCUCAGAAACUUUCAUUUUCUCCUAUGAGUAAAGAUUCUUAAGAAUUCCCUUACAGAUGAGUCUGGGUAUUGAUACUUCCUAUCUUGGCAGUAACAACCAUGACCAGCCAGAUGAAGAGCAGCUGGGAAGGAAAAAGUUUUCCACAGCUCUUUCAUGCUGUAAAGCCUUGAAGGGUUCCAAACAAUAAUCCUUUAUCCCACGGUAUAUUCUCCGGGCGUUUUCUUUCGGAUGUGGAGUUGCGUGGACUUUGGAAUGCCUCAGGAGAGCCACACAUAAAUAACUCCUGUGGGAAUUGCAUGUUCUAGAGGCACAGUCUUCUGUCCUAGAAACACUUAGGAGAUUGCCAAGGCAGUUGUGUGCUCUGCUAACAUUUUGGUUUGAAAGCCAAGCUCAUAAGUAGUGUCCUUGUAGCAGACAUUUUCUAUGUCUUUCCUAAUUAAUAACUAGGUAUUGUUAAAUAUCUUGGUUUUAAAAAGAGGAUAUCCCUUAAGCUGUCACAUAAUAUAUUUAUUCAAUCAAAUAUAUUUUAUGAAAAGAAGAGUUUGGAGUUUUUUCUGGUCUAUUUCUGGAGUUCCAGAAAUUGUUAUGCAGAUGCAAACACUUAUUUAAGUGGAUGCUUUUGCCAUUUCUCUUCCCUGGCAGCAUCAUGUGAGGCUUCUGUCCAGAACAUUGAAUUGCAGCACAGGGCUGGAGCUUCUGUGGCUGGCAGAAACAGUCCAGUAGCCAUAAGGACAGACACUGUCCUUCAGUGGAAAUAUGGGUGUAGGUAGGUAUGAUUGUCAUAAAAGAAAAAGGGACUGUACUGUUGCUCUCCAAAUCUACUGUUCAUCUCUUUUUAUUUUACAGUACAAGGGUUAAGACAUUUUCCUGCAGCAUACCAUACUUAAUUAUGAAUAUUAAUCCCUAUUAGGAGCAUUAGACUUCAGGGAUUCACCUAAGGACAACUGAAGUACAUGGGAUGAGUUGAAGACCAAGACUUUAACAAUAUUUUGAGAUUUCAGGGAGAAGACAGUCAAGAGCACAGACUACAAGGGGCACUGAAGAUGCUUUAUUGUGCAUGUGUGGAGUAAAACUGCAUUUGCUCCUAAACUCGAAGAAAAAUAUUGAAAUCAGGAAUAUUUUUCCUAGAGAUUGUUGAACAUUUGUAUUCUGGAUGCAGAUGAAAUCUUGCUGCUUUUGCUGAUCACUUGCUAGUGGAGACUGACACCCUUUUGCAGAAGAAUCAGCACACAGCCUUUCAAGGGAACCAAUGGGGAACUUCUGCAGAGAACUGCAUCAUCUUCAACCAGGACUUCAUUCCUUUGCUCCUAACACUCUCUACUUACCAAAUUAUCCAUUGAACUCCUGUGGUGUUCCAAAAGGGGAAAAAAAAAAAAGGAAAUGGGGUACAAGGCAGAAAGGUAGGAAGGGAUACCGGCUACAAGGUUAGUGCAGCUUUAUGAAUGAACCCAAAAUGUUGUGUUUGCUGAGCACUUUCCAGUGGAAACUGACACAAGUGUGACUUUUGUCAUCUUGUUUGACUGAACUUUUGAAAUCAAUUUGUUACUGGUUAAAUCCCAGCUUUCAGUGUUUCAGAUUACCCUGGGUGAGGAGCAGAGAGAGGGGCAGUAAAGAAGAGCAAGAAAUCACCCAUCAAAACAAUAAGUUUAUCUAUUUAUUGAUGGGCCUUUUGUCUUCUGAUGGGUGAGUUAAGACUAAAACCAUCCAUAGGCUUCUCUGUUCUGUCCCUUGUCAUCCCAACCCAUACCUCUGUCAGAUGUUUCUGUAACGAGUUCUAGACUAACUUCAUUUUUAUAAAACAAACAGAAGGAGAAUGGCAUUACCUUAACCUGAGAUAGUAUCUGUGGCAUAUGUACAUUGUAGAUCUAGGAGGGGAAAUAAGUAUUUUAAAUAAUAAUAUAUAAUAAUAUAAAGAAAGGAGGUUAAA